rnacentral:rRNA from 1 species
CAUGCAAGUCGAGCGGACAGAUGGGAGCUUGCUCCCUGAUGUUAGCGGCGGACGGGUGAGUAACACGUGGGUAACCUGCCUGUAAGACUGGGAUAACUCCGGGAAACCGGGGCUAAUACCGGAUGCUUGUUUGAACCGCAUGGUUCAAACAUAAAAGGUGGCUUCGGCUACCACUUACAGAUGGACCCGCGGCGCAUUAGCUAGUUGGUGAGGUAACGGCUCACCAAGGCAACGAUGCGUANCCGACCUGAGAGGGUGAUCGGCCACACUGGGACUGAGACACGGCCCAGACUCCUACGGGAGGCAGCAGUAGGGAAUCUUCCGCAAUGGACGAAAGUCUGACGGAGCAACGCCGCGUGAGUGAUGAAGGUUUUCGGAUCGUAAAGCUCUGUUGUUAGGGAAGAACAAGUACCGUUCGAAUAGGGCGGUACCUUGACGGUACCUAACCAGAAAGCCAC